rnacentral:misc_RNA from 1 species
UCUCCGUUGGUGAACCAGCGGAGGGAUCAUUACCGAAGUUACCCUUCAAAACCCUUUGUGAACAUUACCUCUUGCCGCGUUGCCUCGGCGGGAGGCGGUGGGACGUCGCGCUCGCGCCCCUGACCGGGCCGUGCCGCGCCGGCCCCGCCGUCCCCGCCGGCAGCGCCAAAACUCUAUUUGCACAGCGGACUGUAUGUUCUGAUUUAUAAAAAAAACAAGUUAAAACUUUCAACAACGGAUCUCUUGGUUCUG